rnacentral:rRNA from 1 species
UACAGAGGUCUCGAGCGUUGUUCGGAUUCAUUGGGCGUAAAGGGUGCGUAGGUGGCGCUGUAAGUCGGGUGUGAAAUCCUGAGGCUUAACCUCGGAACUGCAUUCGAUACUGCGGCGCUUGAGGACCGGAGAGGAGACUGGAAUUCAUGGUGUAGCAGUGAAAUGCGUAGAGAUCAUGAGGAAGACCAGUGGCGAAGGCGGGUCUCUGGGCCGAUACUGACGCUGGAGGAGCGAAAGCGUGGGGAGCGAACGGG